UACAAGAAAAUGAAAAGCAUUGCAAUUCACUUAUUAUAUCAGUGGAAAAUUGGGUUGGAGGAUUUGAUCAAUCUAGUGUUUGGAUGAGGGAUAUAAAGGAGGGAGAUGACUUUUAAAUGGGAUUAAAAGUCCCUCGUGGAAACUCCCUUAUUUGGUAAAUAAAAGAGAAAGGGGACUUAAAUUACUGAAAUUCCAGAAAGCGAAGAACGACGAUCGAUUUCUCGCUCUCUCUUCUUCUUGCAUCGCUCAUCUUCAGUCAAUACAAGGGUCAAUGUUCAACUUCAUCAAAUGCAAGCGAUUCGACUUUAGCGGGGCAGCUUGGAGGAACUAUUGCAGAAACAUCUGAAGUGGUAGAUGACUGGGAGAAGGCUUAUGGAUAAGAUAACGGCAAAUCUGUUUAUUUGUUGGACUUUGGAAAUGGGGGACUGAUAGGAAUGCCCCUGCCCUUUUUUUUUUUGGGUAUAUGGGUAAAUUUUUAUUUGAACCCCGAAUAAUUGUUGAGUUAGCUGCAUUACAUUUUAGCUUGGCUGCAGUCAUAUUUUGUUGUGUUAUAGUUUUCGCUUUGAUUUCAUAUCUACUCCCAUUGAGAGUGGGACUGGUUACCUGCAGCUGCCUUCCAUAUAGUUGUGGAGGCUGCUUGUGUUGUUUCUGCUGUAUGGGAUAACAUGCAGCCUGUAAAUUCAUGAUUGUAUCGGAAGUGUAGCUUUCUAUAAAAGCAGAGCUAUAAUUACAUAUCAUUCUUCACUCAAA